rnacentral:rRNA from 1 species
AGUGAACGCUGGCGGUAGGCCUAACACAUGCAAGUCGAACGGCAGCACAGUAAGAGCUUGCUCUUACGGGUGGCGAGUGGCGGACGGGUGAGGAAUACAUCGGAAUCUACUUUUUCGUGGGGGAUAACGUAGGGAAACUUACGCUAAUACCGCAUACGACCUACGGGUGAAAGCAGGGGAUCUUCGGACCUUGCGCGAUUGAAUGAGCCGAUGUCGGAUUAGCUAGUUGGCGGGGUAAAGGCCCACCAAGGCGACGAUCCGCAGCUGGUCUGAGAGGAUGAUCAGCCACACUGGAAAUGAGACACGGUCCAGACGCCUACGGGAGGCAGCAGUGGGGAAUAUUGGACAAUGGGCGCAAGCCUGAUCCAGCCAUACCGCGUGGGUGAAGAAGGCCUUCGGGUUGUAAAGCCCUUUUGUUGGGAAAGAAAAGCAGCAGGUUAAUACCCCGCUGUUCUGACGGUACCCAAAGAAUAAGCACCGGCUAACUUCGU